AUUGAACGCUGGCGGCAUGCCUUACACAUGCAAGUCGAACGGUAACGGGCCUUCGGGUGCCGACGAGUGGCGAACGGGUGAGUAAUACAUCGGAACGUGCCCGAUCGUGGGGGAUAACGAGGCGAAAGCUUUGCUAAUACCGCAUACGAUCUACGGAUGAAAGCAGGGGACCGCAAGGCCUUGCGCGGACGGAGCGGCCGAUGGCAGAUUAGGUAGUUGGUGGGAUAAAAGCUUACCAAGCCGACGAUCUGUAGCUGGUCUGAGAGGAUGAUCAGCCACACUGGGACUGAGACACGGCCCAGACUCCUACGGGAGGCAGCAGUGGGGAAUUUUGGACAAUGGGCGCAAGCCUGAUCCAGCCAUGCCGCGUGCAGGAUGAAGGCCUUCGGGUUGAAAACUGCUUUUGUACGGAACGAAAAGCCUUCUUUUAAUACAGGAGGGUCAUGACGGUACCGUAAGAAUAAGCACCGGCUAACUACGUG
rnacentral:rRNA from 1 species